rnacentral:rRNA from 1 species
ACGCACGCUGGCGGCGUGCUUCACACAUGCAAGUCGAACGGAAAGGCCCUGCUUUUGUGGGGUGCUCGAGUGGCGAACGGGUGAGUAACACGUGAGUAACCUGCCCUUGACUUUGGGAUAACUUCAUGAAACUGGGGCUAAUACCGGAUAGGAGCUCCUGCUGCAUGGUGGGGGUUGGAAAGUUUCGGCGGUUGGGGAUGGACUCGCGGCUUAUCAGCUUGUUGGUGGGGUAGUGGCUUACCAAGGCUUUGACGGGUAGCCGGCCUGAGAGGGUGACCGGCCACAUUGGGACUGAGAUACGGCCCAGACUCCUACGGGAGGCAGCAGUGGGGAAUAUUGCACAAUGGGCGGAAGCCUGAUGCAGCAACGCCGCGUGCGGGAUGACGGCCUUCGGGUUGUAAACCGCUUUCGCCUGUGACGAAGCGUGAGUGACGGUAAUGGGUAAAGAAGCACCGGCUAACUACGUG